UACGGGGGGUGCGAGCGUUGUCCGGAAUCACUGGGCGUAAAGCGCACGCAGGCGGUCUGCUAAGUUUGGAGUGACAGUUGGUGGCUUAACUGCCAAAGUGCUUCGAAAACUGACAGACUUGAGGGCUUCAGAGGGACACGGAAUUCCGGGUGGAGUGGUGAAAUGCGUAGAGAUCCGGAGGAACACCAAAGGCGAAGGCAGUGUCCUGGGGAGUACCUGACGCUCAGGUGCGGAAAGCCAGGGGAGCGAACGGG
rnacentral:rRNA from 1 species